CAGUCGCCACGGUAAUACGAAGGGUGCAAGUGCUAAUCGGAAUUACUGGGCGUAAAGCGUGCGUAGGCGGUGAGUUAAGUCUGCUGUGAAAUCCCCGGGCUCAACCUGGGAAUGGCAGUGGAUACUGGCUCGCUAGAGUGUGUCAGAGGAUGGUGGGAUUCCCGGUGUAGCGGUGAAAUGCGUAGAGAUCGGGAGGAACAUCAGUGGCGAAGGCGGCCAUCUGGGACAACACUGACGCUGAGGCACGAAAGCGUGGGGAGCAAACAGGAUUAGAUACCCCAGUAGUCCCUGUCUCUUAUAC
rnacentral:rRNA from 1 species